rnacentral:tRNA from 1 species
GGAAGAGUGGCAGAGCGGCCGAAUGCGUCUGACUCGAAAUCAGAUUCACGGGUAACCGUGACGGGGGUUCAAAUCCCUCCUCUUCCG